rnacentral:rRNA from 1 species
CCACUGGAACGGUGGCUAAUACCGGAUAAGCCGAUUGGUGAAAGAUUUAUUGCCCGAAGAGGAGCUCGCGUCUGAUUAGCUAGUUGGUGAGGUAAGAGCUCACCAAGGCAGCGAUCAGUAGCUGGUCUGAGAGGACGAUCAGCCACACUGGGACUGAGACACGGCCCAGACUCCUACGGGAGGCAGCAGUGGGGAAUUUUCCGCAAUGGGCGAAAGCCUGACGGAGCAAGACCGCGUGAGGGAGGAAGGCUCUUGGGUUGUAAACCUCUUUUCUCAGGGAAGAAGCUCUGACGGUACCUGAGGAAUCAGCCUCGGCUAACUCCGUGCCAGCAGCCGCGGUAAUACGGAGGAGGCAAGCGUUAUCCGGAAUUAUUGGGCGUAAAGCGUCCGCAGGUGGCGAUUCAAGUCUGCUGUCAAAGCACGGGGCUUAACUCCGUAAAGGCAGUGGAAACUGAAUAGCUAGAGUGCCGUAGGGGUAGAGGGAAUUCCCGGUGUAGCGGUGAAAUGCGUAGAGAUCGGGAAGUACAUCGGUGGCGAAAGCGCUCUACUGGACGGCAACUGACACUCAGGGACGAAAGCUAGGGGAGCGAAUGGGAUUAGAUACCCCAGUAGUCAGA